CACAGACUCUGGACAAGGUGCAUGGUGAGGGAGCUGGGCAGAGCUUAGACCAUUUCUGCUGCUGUGGACACCAUCCUGGGAAGAACUACAUUUUAGCGACAGCACAGCGGAGUAAGGGUGUGGCUUGGUCCUCCUGGUCACGAGACAGCUGCCACAUCUUGUGCCACAUCUUGGCUGUGCCUGCAUUCCAGCCAGGAAGGAAGAUGCCCAAAGGUGGUGGAGGCAGAACUGAGUGGACGGGUGAGUGGCCACAGCACUGCCUUGUGUGAGACCCACUACCCUGAUUGACUGGACACUGGCCUGCAUGCUGGUCACAUCACAGCAGCCAAGUCCGCCCAAGCUGGGGAAACCUGAGGAAGUGACCUUCACCUGAGCACCAUGUUAGAGAGUGGUUGGCACCACUGUGGCUUCUG